CCUACGGGAGGCAGCAGUGGGGAAUAUUGCACAAUGGUGGAAACCCUGAUGCAGCGACGCCGCGUGAGUGAAGAAGUAUUUCGGUAUGUAAAGCUCUAUCAGCAGGGAAGAAAUAGCGACCUUUGGGUCGCCAGACGGUACCUGACUAAGAAGCCCCGGCUAACUACGUGCCAACAGCCGCGGUAAUACGUAGGGGGCAAGGGUUAUCCGGAUUUACUGGGGGGAAAGGGAGCGUAGACGGCAGCACAAAGCUGAAGUGGAAUGCCGGGGCUUAACCCCGGAACUGCUUUGGAAACUGUGCAGCUAGAGUGCAGGAGAGGUAAGUGGAAGUCCUGGUGUAGCGGUGAAAUGCGUAGAUAUUAGGAGGAACACCAGUGGCGAAGGCGGCUUACUGGACUGUAACUGACGUUGAGGCUCGAAAGCGUGGGGAGCAAACAGGAUUAGAUACCCGAGUAGUC
rnacentral:rRNA from 1 species